CUAUUUUCUCUAUAAAUCUUGUAUCUAUUUUCUUUUUCCAGCAACAGUAGUCUAACCUGUAGCUGAGUAAUUCUUCAGGUCUGAGUAGUGCUUGGUAAGAUCUCCCAACUGUUGUCAGCUGGAAGUUCCAUGUCUAGGAAGAUAAGGAGGUGACAACUUAUGUCGCACUUCUGGUAACUUUUGCAAGGAAGAAAACACUGCUGUAACUUCUUGUUUGGCAUAACUGAUGUGUCUUGCUGUUGCUGGAGAUUCUCCAUGUCUGAGCAGUUUUACUGUCCAGCUUGUCAGUGACACCCCUGAUCACAGUCUUCACAUUUGUGUCAGCCAAGAUUCAUGAGAGUGAGGAAGAGACAGACUGCCAAUUUAGAGGUAGGAUGCUUUGGACUCAAUCUAUCCAGCAGCAGAAAGAGCUGGAGAAUGGAGCAACAACUGUAUUAUUGAAGAGCUCCAUAGCCACAGACUGGGAAAAGCAUGAUCGGAUGUGAUUUUCAGAACAGAUGCCCAAGCAGAGUUGGCAGUUAAUUAAAAGCACUAUGUACUU
rnacentral:lncRNA from 1 species